GAUGAACGCUGGCGGCGUGCCUAACACAUGCAAGUCGAGCGGCAGCGAGGGGUGCUUGCACCCUGUCGGCGAGCGGCGGACGGCUGAGUAACGCGUGGGAACGUGCCUCAAAGUGAGGAAUAACUGCCCGAAAGGGUAGCUAAUACCGCAUAUUAUCUUCGGAUCAAAGGAUUUAUCCGCUUUGGGAGCGGCUCGCGUCGGAUUAGGUAGUUGGUGAGGUAAUGGCUCACCAAGCCGACGAUCCGUAGCUGGUCUGAGAGGAUGACCAGCCAGACUGGAACUGAGACACGGUCCAGACUCCUACGGGAAGCAGCAGUGAGGAAUCUUCCACAAUGGGCGAAAGCCUGAUGGAGCAACGCCGCGUGCAGGACGAAGGCCUUCGGGUUGUAAACUGCUUUUAUAAGUGAGGAAUAUGACGGUAACUUAUGAAUAAGGAUCGGCUAACUACGUG
rnacentral:rRNA from 1 species